UCUAACAGAUCAGAAAGUGAUGAUAUGU
rnacentral:sRNA from 1 species